rnacentral:rRNA from 1 species
CGGGACACGUGGUAUCCUGUCUGAAUAUGGGGGGACCAUCCUCCAAGGCUAAAUACUCCUGACUGACCGAUAGUGAACCAGUACCGUGAGGGAAAGGCGAAAAGAACCCCGGCGAGGGGAGUGAAAAAGAACCUGAAACCGUGUACGUACAAGCAGUGGGAGCACGCUUAGGCGUGUGACUGCGUACCUUUUGUAUAAUGGGUCAGCGACUUAUAUUCUGUAGCAAGGUUAACCGAAUAGGGGAGCCGAAGGGAAACCGAGUCUUAACUGGGCGUUAAGUUGCAGGGUAUAGACCCGAAACCCGGUGAUCUAGCCAUGGGCAGGUUGAAGGUUGGGUAACACUAACUGGAGGACCGAACCGACUAAUGUUGAAAAAUUAGCGGAUGACUUGUGGCUGGGGGUGAAAGGCCAAUCAAACCGGGAGAUAGCUGGUUCUCCCCGAAAGCUAUUUAGGUAGCGCCUCGUGAAUUCAUCUCCGGGGGUAGAGCACUGUUUCGGCAAGGGGGUCAUCCCGACUUACCAACCCGAUGCAAACUGCGAAUACCGGAGAAUGUUAUCACGGGAGACACACGGCGGGUGCUAACGUCCGUCGUGAAGAGGGAAACAACCCAGACCGCCAGCUAAGGUCCCAAAGUCAUGGUUAAGUGGGAAACGAUGUGGGAAGGCCCAGACAGCCAGGAUGUUGGCUUAGAAGCAGCCAUCAUUUAAAGAAAGCGUAAUAGCUCACUGGUCGAGUCGGCCUGCGCGGAAGAUGUAACGGGGCUAAACCAUGCACCGAAGCUGCGGCAGCGACG